ensembl:lncRNA
UCACAUUACUCGCCUGAGCCACAUAGUCAUGAAUCACAGAGACUGAGCAUCACAGGAUGCUGGGGCUGGAGAAGACUGCAUAGACCAGCUGGUCCACCUUAGCACAUUAGAGAGAAAAGUGAAGCCUGAAGAGAGGCGGGCUUACUUAAUUUGCUCGGUAGCAGAGUCAAGCUGCCCACUCCAGUACUCCUGCCUGGAAAAUCCCAUGGAUGAAGGAGCCUGGAUUUUAGUUCCGGGCCAGAGAUCGAAUCCAUGCCCUUAGCAGAAGUGCGAAGUCAACCACUGGACCUCCAGGGAAGUUCCAAAAACGUUUGUUGUGGCCAACAUGAGUGGCUGCAUGACAUCACUCAUCCUGGGGCCUCAAUUCACCUCUCUGGUCAUCUUCUCGUUACACCUGAUGCUCCAGAAAUAUGAACCCAAAGGGCCGUGCAAUUGGGUCCAUAUAAUAC